UAGCCUACUGCGUAAUAUACUCUCAGUUGUCCGGCUGUACCGAGGGCUGCCGAUGUGUUUUUGAUUUCAACAUGCUGCACCAGAUACUUUUCAGUGUAUCAAAUCUGUAACAUGCUCAUCCUCCCCGUUAUACAUGUUGUGUGAAAUAUCCACGCUAUUUUAAAAUUGCAGGCUCAAUAACUAUACACUCUAAAAAAUGCUGGGUUAUUUCUGUAAACACAUUUUUGGGUUAAUUGUGCUGGGUCAUAAUUUUGGGUUGUUUGAGGUACUGUAAACACACUGUUGGGUUCCUAAUGCUGGGUCAAAUGGACUGUAGGGGUUAUUUCACCACUGAACAGCUGGGUUGGGUUAUUUUGACCCAACCGGUUUGUUCAUUUUUCCACUUCAUCGAACCUUCUGGAUCCUUCACGCGUCUCCUUGUCAGACGGCAACACACAUCACAGCAAGCUGAUUUUAUAAGGUGGGGACUUUCAUGGUGGAAUACUUGCAAAAUGCAGAGAACAGUGAUGUAUUCUGCACAUUUUGUGCCUUUGGGACGAGGCAGCAACGACAUCCCAGACCUUCACCAUUGUUUCGGGACAUGCCAUUGAAACUGACUUGUUGCUCAGUUGAUCUGUUUCAAGUCCUUUUCUGUGCUUGAUGUUAACUAAGCAGUCUCUUCCUACUCAGAAAUUUCUCCGGCAUGCAGUUUAUCGUAUUGAUGGACAUGAGUGAAGAGGGAAGUUUUUGAGGACACUUGUAACAUGCUUUAAGUUGUCACAUGUAUUGUCUGUUGUUUUGAGUCUUUGUUUGGCUUAGUUUUAAUGGCACACUGUUUGGACUGAUUCUCAUGUGCCAAUAAUAUAUUUUUGAGUGUUCUAAUGCUGCAAUGUUGACAUAUAGAAUAGGAAUCUACAGUGCUUAAUUCACCCCGUUUUGUGUUUUUAAAGAAACUGAUCUACAAAAACUUGUUUUUAUGUGUCUGUAGGUGUUGGAUGAAAUGUAUGACAAUUGCACCCAUUCAAUAAAUGUAAAGAAAUAAAUUGAAUAAAAAUGCAUAUUUACAA